rnacentral:rRNA from 1 species
GUCCACGCUGUAAACGAUGGGCACUAGGUGUUCGGGGUAUUGACCCCCUGAGUGCCGCAGCUAACGCAUUAAGUGCCCCGCCUGGGGAAUACGGCCGCAAGGUUAAAACUCAAAGGAAUUGACGGGGGCCCGCACAAGCGGUGGAGCAUGUGGUUUAAUUCGACGCAACGCGAAGAACCUUACCUGGGCUAGACAACAUCGGACAGCCUCAGAAAUGAGGUCUCCCCGCAAGGGGCCGUGGUUCAGGUGCUGCAUGGCUGUCGU